GCAUUAUGUGCUUGCACAUUUUGGACGUCGACCGGCGCACGGGUGAGUAUCGCGUAUCCAACCUGCCCUUUACUUGGGGAUACCCCGUUGAAAGACGGCCUAAUACCCGAUGUAAUUCAUUGAUGGCAUCAGAUAUGAAUAAAAGAUUUAUCGGUAAAGGAUGGGGAUGCGUCUGAUUAGCUUGUUGGUGAGGUAAUGGCUCACCAAGGCAACGAUCAGUAGGGGUUCUGAGAGGAAGGUCCCCCACAUUGGAACUGAGACACGGUCCAAGCUCCUACGGGAGGCAGCAGUGAGGAAUACUGGUCAAUGGGCGCAAGCCUGAACCAGCCAAGUAGCGUGCAGGAAGACGGCCCUAUGGGUUGUAAACUGCUUUUAUACGAGAAUAAUUUGAUGCACGUGUGCGUUAUUGCAUGUAUCGUAUGAAUAAGGACCGGCUAAUUCCGUGCCAGCAGCCGCGGUAAUACGGAAGGUCCAGGCGUUAUCCGGAUUUAUUGGGUUUAAAGGGAGUGUAGGCGGUUUGUUAAGCGUGUUGUGAAAUUUAGAUGCUCAACAUUUAACUUGCAGCGCGAACUGUCAGACUUGAGUACACGCAACGUAUGCGGAAUUCAUGGUGUAGCGGUGAAAUGCUUAGAUAUCAUGAAGAACUCCGAUUGCGAAGGCAGCAUACGGGAGUGUAACUGACGCUUAAGCUCGAAGGUGCGGGUAUCGAACAGGAUUAG
rnacentral:rRNA from 1 species